rfam:Gossypium hirsutum cultivar TM-1 unplaced genomic scaffold scaffold626.1, whole genome shotgun sequence
UAUUAAAAAUUUUAUCAAUUUCUACUGUUAAAAGCUGUCGUGGCUGAUAAAAUAACCAAACAGAGUUACACAUGACAUAUCAUGUGUACCUUAUUUUAACAUAUAGAGACUAGUUUUAACAUUAAAAAUUGAUGAAAUUUUUAACA